rnacentral:rRNA from 1 species
AGCGAACGUUAGCGGCGCGCCUAACACAUGCAAGUCGCACGAGAAAGGGAGCAAUCCCCGGUACAGUGGCGCACGGGUGAGUAACACGUAGAUGACCUUCCCUGGAGUGGUGGAUAACCUGCCGAAAGGCGGGCUAAUACAGCAUGGGACCACAUGGUUUUGACCGAGUGGUGAAAGCGGGCCUCUGUUCACAAGCUCGCGCUCUGGGAUGGGUCUGCGUCCCAUCAGCUAGUUGGUGAGGUAAUGGCUCACCAAGGCAUCGACGGGUAGCUGGUCUGAGAGGAUGACCAGCCACACUGGAACUGAGACACGGUCCAGACUCCUACGGGAGGCAGCAGUGGGGAAUCUUGCGCAAUGGGCGAAAGCCUGACGCAGCGACGCCGCGUGGAGGACGAAGGCCUCGG